GUGCACGUAUGCCUGAGUGGUGAAGGUCCGGUUUCAAAAACCGGUUUCGCGGAUCAGGAUUUCCAACGCCAGACGCCACAUGCGCGCCA
rnacentral:tRNA from 1 species